UUUUUUUAUUUGUCGUUUUUUUUUCUACAAUUUUUUUUCCUUUUUUAAAAUUGAUUUUUUUUCCUUCUUUUAUUUAAAUAAUUUUUUGAUUUUAACUUUUUUUACUAUAUAAUUGAUAUAGUUUUGAUAUAGUGUCAUUUUGAAAUGUUAAAGUGUCGUUACUAAUUUUAUAUUGUUGUUUGAAAUCUUAAAGUGUCAUUCCAAAUGUUUUAGUGUCAUUUGAAAUAUUAUAGUGUCAUUUCAAAUCAUGUAGUGUCAUUCGAAAUCUCAUAGUGUCAUUCGAAACGUUAUAGUGUCAUUCAAAAUAUUAUAGUGUCGUUCGAAAUCAUGUAGUGUCAUUCGAAAUCUCAUAGUGUCAUUCAAAACGUUAUAGUAUCAUUCGAAACGUUAUAGUGUCAUUCGAAAUCAUGUAAUGUCAUUCCAAAUCUUAUAGUGUCAUUCGAAAUUUCAUAGUGUCAUUCGAAAUCAUGUAAUGUCAUUCGAAAUCUCAUAGUGUUAUUCAAAAUCUUAAAGUGUCAUUUUGAAAUGUUAAAGUGUCAUUUCAAAUGUUAAAGUUUCGUUCGAAAUCUUAAAGUGUCAUUCGAAAUGUUAAAGUGUCAUUCAAAAUGUUAUAGUGUCAUUCGAAAUAUUAUAGUGUCAUUUUGAAAUGUUAAAGUGUCAUUUCAAAUGUUAAAGUUUCAUUUGAAAUUUUAAAGUGUCAUUCGAAAUAUUAUAGUGUCAUUCGAAAUUAUGUAGUGUCAUUCGAAAUACUAUAGUGUCAUUCGAAAUCAUGUAGUGUCAUUCGAAAUCUCAUAGUGUCAUUCGAAAAUAUAAUUUUAAAAAAAUGAAAAAAAAGAAGAAGAAGAAA
rnacentral:lncRNA from 1 species